GGGUCGGUGAACCGGCGGUGGGACGAGGGCUGAUGAGCAUCGCCAUCGCCAUGGUGCAGCUCGCAGCACGGAUUUUUUUAUAGGUGGUUCUUCAGGAUCGAGGAUGACUUAUUUCCAGUUCUGACGAAGGGUUGCAGAUUCGUAACGUUAACUGUUUUUCUCUCCACAGAUGCUGCCUGACCUACUGGACUGGAUAAUGUACUGUGGGAUGGAAUCAAGGGCACUUGUAUCAAGAACAAAGCCACAGCUGAAGAUCUCCUCAAUGCGCUCAUAAUUCUGCCUGACCUGUUGAGCAUUUCCAGCAUCUGGAGUUUUUUUCUGGUUUUCAUUUCUGAGUGAUUACUAAUUUGAUCCCAAGUUAUGAUUAACAAGUCCAUAAGAUAAUUAUGCAUAAGGUUCAACCAGAAUGUCCUGGAAUAUUCUUCACUCCUACCUUAUUUCAUUGUAUCAGCAUAAGGACUGCAAUGAUUAUCAAAGGAAGCCGACCCUACUACCUUGUG